AUCCAGAGGUGGACACUGAUCGUGAAGACUUCGAGACGCUGGCAUCACUGCAGAGCAGCAUAACCAUGGCCAGGGCACUUUUUCACAAGCGGUGCAAAAAAUUCAAGGAUGCUGUAGAGUCUUUUGAGCAACAUCCAGCAGAUCAACUGCGCGAAGUCGGUGAUACCUCUCAACAUGAUGCACACACACAGACGGUAUCAUCACCACCUGCGACAGCUGAAGAUGGGCUCGAACACUUUGGCCUCUUUGUCGCCCAGAGACUGCGCAUGGUGGAUGCAACAGUGCAAGCGCGUCUCAUGUCAUCCAUUUUAAAUCUAGUUGUUCCAGUGCCAUGUGGCCUUUCAGAAUGAUUUUGAAGCAAAGCUCCAAUGUUGCUUUUCCAAAUGCUCCUAAACAAAGUGUGCAUGGACGGAGUGUUUGUCACAUGUAGCGUUCCUGUAAUUAAAAAAAAAUCUGGCACAUUUCACCCAUAAUGGGAAUAGAUUUCAUAUGAAGCUCUGGGAGGGGUAAAAUAUGUCAUAUUUCUUGCUUUGAGCCAAGAAUAAUUAGCUGGAGCGAUGCAAAUUUAGUAGUUGCAUGCAUAUCGAGUCACUGUCGGAUAUGUUGAAUACAGUGGUGUGUAUCGCUCAUGGUCUGACACAAUGCCAUGACUCGUAUUAUAGCAGACUGCAAGGAAGUGUGCGCUACAGUGCGAUAGUGUGCACAUAAUAAGUGGCAGUUGCUAAUGUGGCCAUGUUUGACUGCAGCUUGUGGAGUCGUGAUUAUGCAUUAGAAUGUUUAUGAUUUUAUAAAAAAAUUAAUAGCCAGGACUGCAACCACAGUUGUCAUUGUCGCAAUAA